CCUACGGGGGGCAGCAGUAGGGCAUAUUGCUCAAUGGGGGAAACCCUGAAGCAGCAACGCCGCGUGGAGGAUGAAGGUUUUCGGAUUGUAAACUCCUUUUGUUAGAGAAGAUAAUGACGGUAUCUAACGAAUAAGCACCGGCUAACUCCGUGCCAGCAGCCGCGGUAAUACGAAGGGUGCAAGCGUUACUCGGAAUCACUGGGCGUAAAGCGCGCGUAGGCGGGAUAGCAAGUCAGAUGUGAAAUCCUAUGGCUUAACCAUAGAACUGCAUUUGAAACUGUUAUUCUAGAGUAUGGGAGAGGUAGGUGGAAUUCUUGGUGUAGGGGUAAAAUCCGUAGAGAUCAAGAGGAAUACUCAUUGCGAAGGCGACCUGCUAGAACAUAACUGACGCUGAUGCGCGAAAGCGUGGGGAGCAAACAGGAUUAGAUACCCGAGUAGUC
rnacentral:rRNA from 1 species